CACUUGACCGUUUGCUGCUGGUUUUGCAACAGCGCUGCCAGAAGAUGCAGAAAAAACAUAAUGGGGAAAAGAAAUGGCAUAAUUUGCAGGAGAUACUUUUCUCAUCUCAUUUAAAUGAAGAUCGUUUGUUCCUGGAUGUCAGAAACAUCAAGAGCAACAAAAAUAUGGAAAUUGGUAAUUUCUUGCACUAGGAAUACUUCCAGAUCUUUGGAGAUUCUGUCUGAUUCUAGCAACUACUAAAAGAUGUGUCCGAGCCAAACUUCCAGCAUAAAAUAACUUCAAACCUCAGAAACUUGAAAUCUGGGCCUGAAUUUUUUAAGUCUUUGGCCCCAAAUGCUUCUCUCAUCACCUGCCAGAACGUCCUCAAAACUGGGAGAGGAAUCACAAUCCCUAACAUAUUCCUUAAUCAUUUGGAAGAAAUACAGACAAAAUGGAGCUGAACAAGGUGAUCAUGGGCUGUCUGACACAGCCUUUCAUGUUUAGCUCUGCUUGUGUAUUUUCCAGUCCUUCCAUAACACAUAACAUGGGAUGAGAGCAUGGGGCAGGAGCCCUUUGUGCUCCCAGGAUCUGCUCCAGCCAUAAAAGACUUCUCAGAGGCUCCUGGAUGGGAUUUUUCUGACUCAGGAGAGGGGGGAUUAGCUCUCCAUUCUGACCUCAUCCCGUUUGAUUUUCUUUUACCUCAACCAAAGACAGAUGAGCUCAUCUAGAGCUGAGGCAUCUCUUCCCUCUUCACUGGUCACUUCUUUUAUUGCGGGUAGGGUAGAAUUGCCUGUCGUGGGUGAUGAUUCCUCCAUGGACUCCAGGAAGCCUGGAGAACUCCUUGAGUCUGUCAGCUUUAAUUUGUAGAGUAUAUAAUGGGGGACAAAUCCCAUCCAGUCUUCCCAUCUGUCCAAUUCUUAUUUUCAGCCACAACAGCUCCAGUGCCAGUCUCCUGUAGGAAUCAGAGGUGAAGGCCAGCAGCCUCGAAUGCUGGAGGAACAAAGAGCACCCUGACUCAUUUUACACCGAAUGUUCUUUCCCCAAAGCCUCUAUCUUUUCACACUUUUCCCCAGCUGCUCCUCAUGAUGCCUGUGUAUUUUACAGAGGAAUUUUUUUCCCUGCUUCCUUUGGGGUGUCAGGGCUUUGUUUCACAGUUCCUACUCCUUGUAUCCAAGUCAAACCCAAAGAGCCUUCUAUUACCUUUCUUCUUCCUUUCCUUCCUCCCCCCAACAUCUCAGCAAGGCGGCCUGUUAAUCUCUUCUUUUGCAAAGAUUAGAAACGUGGCUUUUCUAUGACCUUUCUGAACAAUCAGGAUCCUGGAGUCCCCAAGAUGGGUCGCCAUUAUCUCAUCUUUUUGGGCUGUUAACAAUGAUUAAGCAGGACAAAGGAUGUGCUCAGAGCCAUGGAGUUUCAAUCAGUCCUUAGGGAGUACCUGGAAAUAAAAGCAAGCAGAGUAGGAAAGCUCCUGCAAAAAGAAAGGUUCGACCUUUAGAAAACAUCCUUGGUUGGUGCUUUCUCGCCUUUUCAAAUAUACAUAAGAAAAAUUUGCAAAAAGAGGCCUGUAAGUGCAGACACAGCUUCUGGACUCAUUCCCCAGAGGGCUGCUCCCACAGCAUGUGCCACUGGACAGAGCACUCCGGACUUGGGAAAACCAGGUAACAAACAGAAAUGCAAUUUAAAACUCUUAUUUUUGCUCAUGAUCUAUCUCACUGUCUGUCCACCUGUGUGCUCCAAUCUUUACAAGUUUUUCCACAGGUUUUGAUUACCUGAGUACAGCAGCUCUGAGCAAGGGAUGAGUGAUAUUUCCACCACUCCCAAUCCAUCUCACAACAGAGCUGGGGCUCUUCAAGGUGCAAUUCCUUUACCAGCUCCUAUUUCCAGCAGUUUCUCAUCUGUGUCUCACCUUUCCCAGGGAUAAAGAGCACCCGGCAGGGCCAGGUGAGUGAGCAGCAGGUGAGUUACCAGCAUGGAAGCUUUCCCAUCCAGCCCAAGGCUUCAAAGUGCUGUGGUUUGGUUUUGCGGACUCCAAAGUCUUGCAGUGCAUGUGCGAGAACCUUGUGUUUGUCACGUGCUGCUGUCAUCUCACAGAGGGCAAACAACUGACCAAACAAACCAAGAAUUGAGUUGGAAUAUUCUGUUACCUUUCCUUGUCCACAGAACAGGGGAAGAAACUGAAAGGCAGACACAUCUCUUGAGAAGACCAUGGCCAGAGGCUGUCUGAACCAGAUCAGAGGGCAGAGGGAUGUGUAUAAAGUGAGCUGGCUCACACACACAUUCAUACUUGGCUGUAUAAUGGGAUGUUCAGGGGAACACAUUGAGACAGAGAGAUUUAGAAUCACAGAACACUUUGGAAGGGACUUCAAAGAUCAUCUCUUUCCACCCCCUGCCAUGGGCAGGGACACCUUCCACUAUCCCACGUUGCUCCAACCUGGACUUGGACACUGCCAGGAAACUAGGGGCAGCCACAGCUUCUCUGGGCACCAUGUGCCAGGGCCUCACACCCUCACUGAAUGAAAGUUCCCAAUAUCCACUCAUCCAAUUCUCUAUGUCUUGUCCAACAAGUCUCUUUCUGCCUCUUGAAAGCAUCUCUGCCAAGUGGCUGCAAGAGAAGCAAAGGCAAGGAGGGGAGUCAUUAACAGAAAGUUUAGAAGAGAGGAAUAAAAGAUUUUUUUUUUUUUUAAAUGGGCUAAAGUGUGAAGAAUGGCCUUUGUGAACAAUUCAGUCAUUUAUCAUUAUUUCAUUGGCAUUGUAUGAAUUAUACAUUCAGACUAUAAUGGAGUAAUAUCUCAUCUCCUUUCCCCCUCAGUGGGCACUGAAUGAAUGGCCAGGUGAGCUGCACUUGGAGCAGCACCAUUCUCCAGGAGAGUCACUGCUCACCUCCCGCUGCUCUCCUGAAUUUCUGUUCUACAAGUGCAUGUUGAUCUUUUAUCAGUCUUUUCUGGGUGUUAAAAUUAAUGAGUAUUUAGAAAAUAGCUUUUGUCUUUUUAAUUAUUUUUGUUAUUUUUAUUUCCCUAUGGAAAGACAGAAGAGUGGAGGGGCAGAGAAGGGGGAAAAAAGCUAGAGCCAAACAAUAUAGUUUUGCAGUUGGUCCAAGAGCUAAGGGAUGAGUGGACACAAUCUUUCUUAUAGUGGCUCAGCUGAUGGGUAGGAAAAUGCUAAACUGACUUAGCUGACCAAUAUUUUUUUGAGUGGUUUUGUACUUGCAUAGUUGCCUGUAAAAAUACUGGCUCACAGUCACAAUAUCAAUGGAAUUUGCCCCUUCAAAACUGCUGUUUCACUUCAGAGAGCUCUGGCUUUUCCCCCAGGAGAAGGGUCUACUCCAACCCACUAAGAGGGUUAAUAAAAGUAUUCCUGCUGCAAGAGAUUGGAGGAGCUGUGAACUCUGGUUUAAGAGGCAGGCAGUGAGGUGUCUGCUUAGCAGACUAUCAGGAUCCAUCAGAAACUAACAGUAGCCAUAAACCUCAAUGGAUUAACUUCCAUCCAUUUUGAUUUCCAGCUGUAUUGCACCUUGGCUGUGUCACUGCCAAAAUAAGAGGUCCUAAAUAGAAUAGCAAUUAUCUCAAUAUCAUUAAUUCAGUGGGCACUUUUUUCAAUUUUCUCUGUCACAUGUUGAUUCCUGCACCUCUUCCCUGCUCCCAGGUUUCCCUCUCUCUUCCACAGAAGAGUAUUUCCUCCUCCCAGAUGACCUGUUAGAGAGAUGGAGCCCUAGAGCACUCCAGAUUUUGGGAACAGAGGUCUCUGAUGCAGGACUGACCUUUACUCAUGCUGAAGAAGUGGAUUUGGAAGGGAGAAAAAGGCUUUUGAUGCUUAAAAGCUUCUGCAGGAGGAAACUCUACACACCUGAGGUCACACCUGGGACAGCUUCGUCACCAACAUGGUUUAUUCCUAAUGAAGGAAGUCUGGUUGUGGCAAGGAAAUGGAGGUGUUGACUGUGGCUUUUAGUGUAAAAUAUAAUAUUUGUGUAAACCCUCAAACUGUGGAGCAAGACCUGGAACAUAAAGAGAGACAAACCCGACUAUUAUCCUGAUAGACUCAAGUGCAAAGAAAAGAAGGGCUGCUGCUCCUGUGGUAACCCCUGUUAAGGAAUGUUUAGAGAUGAAAUUUCUGAGCUGAACAGUCUCAGCUAAAAUAGUAUCCUAGCUCCAGGCUCUUUGAGAGGUUGCUUUUAAGAUGCAAUGGAAAACUGAUGCCCUGACCUCUUGUGGUCACUAAACACACAGAGCCAGAUUUCCCAAGCAUAUGAUCGUUUUCAACGCAGUCUCCUUCCGAGAUUUUUAUUUGCUUUAGUGAAUAAUGUUCUCUCCAGUGCUCCCUUCACAAUUUCACCAGGGCAGGGACUUACUCAGCAUUCCCAAUUCUUUUGUAGAAGGCACAGUGUGAUGUGGUUGGAAGGGUCCACCCCCAGUAAAUUCCAGAACCCAUUGCAAUGGACCACAGACAAUGAAAUAAUAUUGGAAUGUGACCUGCUGUCCUGCAUAGCUGCUUCCAAGGAUUCCUUGGGAGCAGUGCUGCCUUCUGGGGCAUCUGAAAUGAUCCUUGAAUGUUAUUUGACACUCAAAGUUCAGAAGUAACAACAAGACCUUUCAGAAUGAGAGGAUGCAGGCUGACUAUAAGAAUGUAUUUUUGUCGCUGCCUCGAAAUGUUUCAGGAUGUUUUCAGCACAGAAACCAUUCUUGAAGAGCUGACAAAAGGAGUCGGGUGAAGGAUCCUUUGUAUGGGUGUCAGCAGUCUAAAUUAUACGAGAGCCGAGUUUCCAACAUAUCUUAUGGUUACUGUCUGUGUCUAGUGAGUUUUGCUGUAAAGAAAUGAUGGGUUUUGAGCCAACCAUCUGGUGUGACCACAUGGGAAACCAGAAUUUGAUUCACACCUCUGCAGGCAAGAGUCAGAUGCUGGGAACAUUGAGGACCUGACUGCAGGGCUUGAAAAACAUCAUUCUUUUCACUCCAUCUUUGCCCAGCGCUGAUGGGGACCUACAGAUACAAAUACAGCCUGUGAGAUGACCACUGACAUUUCAGAAGAGGCUGAAAGCUUUGAGGGUGAAUAGCUUAUGCUGCUAGGGGAGAAUUAAAAACAGUCAGAGAGAAAAUAUAUUACAUAUAAUACAAAUUAGUUGUUAAUGUGUUUGACCUACUGCCUUUUUGGUUGGCUUCUGGGUCUUUUGUGGAGAAGAGGUCCCCAGUGUGAGAUGUGGUUUUCUUCAUUCCAUAAAGCUGCAGGAAUAACUUCCUUGUAUGAAGACAUAGUGGAGUGAAGCAGGAUGCUUUCCAGGGGGCGAUUAAUUGACAAUAUUUUUUUCUUUUAAAACCAAAAUAUUGGUAUUUACUAUGAUCAUGACAAAGUAGACAUAGCCUGAGCUUCCUUCCUCCUUCUUUCAUAAAGCUCCUCUCUCAUGGCCAUCACCAGAAUCUGUGAUUCCUGCCUCGUAUGCCCCGUGACCUCAGAUUCAGAGAGAGGAUGGGAUAAUUCCCAAGGUAUUUGAGUAAGGUGCUUGUCUGGAUGAGACUGCUGAACGACUCAGCUCAUGCUGCUGGGGUUAAGAGGAUGUUUGUAAGUGCAAACCCAGUCUAGCAGUUCACAGGCUUCAAAUAGGGCAAAUGUGAGACAGAGUGAGGCUGUCCUCGGUCCAGCCAGUGAACACAUUUCCCACUGUGCGCCCAAACCCAAGGCCAGUGGCAUCCUCCUUCUGGAAGGCUGGCUCAGGGAGAGAGUGAUAGGGCUGGAGCUCUGUGGUCAUAAAGGUCUGUGCUGCUGCUGGGAGGUCACCCCAGGAUGAGGUGCAAAUGCUGUAAAAUGAGGGAGGAAGAGACCAUUGCCGACCAUAAUGCAUUAUGCACAAACAGUAAACAGAUACCCUCGGAAUGUUUUUGUCUGAGAUGGGGAAUAAAGCAAAAAUAGUCAGCAAGACAGAAGCAGAAGCCUAUCUCUCCUUUAACAAUCUGCACUCAACCGUGUUCCAAAUAGCCACUUGGCAACAAUUAUCUCAGAGGGAAAGUGGCGUGGAGUGCAGAAAAUAAGGGCAGAGCUGUGACAGUGGCACAGAGGCAAGCCAGGAUGUUGUUUUUGUUCAGCUCUCCUCCUGAAGCCAGUCCAGGUUGGUUUUGCCUCAAACUGGUCACGCUUUGGGAGCUGCUUUAAGACCCAAAUGUUUUUUAAAUGGCAGAGUGGUGAGUCAGGGGCUUGGUGGCGGCACACAGGGGCUGUCAGAGCAGGGCUUUAACCAGCAUCUCCUUCCCUGCUGCACAGCCUGCAGACUCGGGCUGUGCUCCUAGGGAGCUCCUCUCCAGGAGGCAAAGGCUGCUCUGUGGCCUAAUGGAUUAUUGAGGAAGAUUCCAAACAUUUUUGUCCUUUUUUGACAAGAAUUGAAAGGAAAACAAAAAGCCCACAGGGACAAGGAGUUUUCCUACAAAUUAAUUUCCACGAGAUAUUUCAAGAUAUCUCUGGCAUACUUGACUUCUAGUAUCAAAGGACUAUUUAAGUUAGAAGGUGAAACAAGGUAUAUGGACUGUUUGGUACUGAUUAGAAACUCUGAAGAAGCAGCUGAGGUAGAGACUAACUCAUGUUAUGAUUUUAUUUACUGCAGAUUCCGUGGUGAAGGUGACAGAGAGUACUGAGAGGAAACAUGAAAGAAACCCUUUUGUUUGCCACAACAUUAGAGUGAUUUGGCAUCCUUAUCAUCUUGUGACAUGAUGCAGGAAUAAGCAAGAUGAGGCUGGGAUUACAGUCCAUUAAUGCCUCUCACAUUCCUAGUGAAUCACCACCAGUUUUGUAGGCCCUCACACAGUCAGGAGUGGCUCCUGACCAGGUCAUUGGGGUGAUAUUUCAAGCAAAGAUAGAAUAAUUUUGAGAAUGGUUUAUCUCCUUUCCAGCCUGCGGUCAGAUAGCAUCCCUGUGGCAACCAUUUCAGUUGUCUAUGUGGAAAAGUAAUGUGCAGAAAGUAAUUUAAUGUAAUGGAUUGUUUAGCUUUCUUUUAAUUAAAUGUAGCAGCUGGAAACAAGGAGGAUACAGCUCUGUAUCACCAAGCAGGUCUCUAAUUGCAGGCAUCCUCCACAGAUCCUACUUAGUGUGCUGCCCUUUCAGCCCAAGAUGAAAACCCAAUACUAUUGAAUACCCCAAAACCUUCUGAUUUUCCCCCCACCUUUCAUUAAAUAUUUCAGUGGGUUGAUUUGUUUCUUUUGCUAUUUCUCUCUCUCCCCAAAACUCAAACUGCUGAUGAUAAAUGUGUGUCAAAGAAGCUACAGAAAUCACCUCUCCGAGGAGCCCAGCAGCUAGACAAGGGAGGAUAGUGCUGCAGUUCCUUGGGAAGCUGUCCUUUUCAAAUGACUGACUGAGGAGCUCUGACUGUUUAUUCCCACCAAAUGAUUCUGGCUUUUUGAAGAUGACUGAACACAUUGCUGGGCCUUUCAGCUGAGCUCCUUUCAAGAUGGGAUUCCCUGUGAUUUACACAGCUCUGCUCCUGGUGCUUGAGGAACUUCUCCAAGCGACAGAGCCACGUCCACCUUUGGACCUUCGAGGGAAAAAUAACAUAAAUGCAUAAAUAAAAUAUACUGCAAGAAGGGAAUGAGUCUGGUCAGCCUCACUGAGGAUGAAAGGAUGGGGUGCAGGAGUAGGAUGUGAGAAGUAAGAAGAAAAGCUGCAGUGAAGGAUUGACCUGACAGGAACACUUUGGAAAAAAAAAAGGAAAGAGGUCCAGUGUCCAUCCAGUGUAGGUGUCUGGGCACACACCUGGCAGCACCUUGGACAGCUGCACCACAGAAACCAGAGCUGUGAGUCAGAUCUGCUCAUUCUGUCACCAAAAAUCUGCUUUUCCUCCCAAGCUUUUCCUCUCUUUUGUUUGCAACUCAAUCUAGAGGGACCUUCUGACAAGGUACCUUUAUCCAUCAGACUGCCAAGAACUUAAAAACCUCUCAUUUGUCCAUUUAAUGAAACGGGCACUGCUGGCUUGGUUGUUUUGGUUUUCUUUGCUCUGAAUAAAUGAUUGCCCCCCAAGUGUAAUUUUUUUCUCAAGUAAACAGAUUUGGUCCUGAUUACUGCUAGGGAGAGAAGGGGGUAUUUUCAGAGAUGAUGGAUAUACACCCAUGAUGUGCUGGUAGCUUUACACCAGAGAAGGCUGCUCUAGGAUGGACAUCCAGAGAGGAUGGGAAAUCACAUACAAAUGGAGGGAAAAGGAAGAAUUCCCAGGAAAAACACCAACAUCAGCAAACCAAAAUGGGAGAAAAAUAUGACUGAAGUGGACAGAGAAUAAAAAUGAAGAAUGAUGGUCUACAAGGGCCCAAAGGGCCCAUCCUCAUCUUGAUCAGUUACAGAUCUGCUCAAAUCACCAGACUGGAAUAAUCCAACCCCCCAGGUCAACCAUUUAAAGUCUUAGAUCUAAGACUAAGACCUUUCUGAGUACCUGUAAGAUUUGUCCGAUCGUUGCUGAUGCCAGCUCAUUGCCAGGUUUGUGGCCCUUCAGCACCAAGCUGAGGGUUCAAAGCUGAGCACAUCUUUCCACCUGCUGGCUUUUCCCAUCAAGGCAAAGCACGAGGUGUCCAAGCCAGGGCCUGGAAUUACAGGAGCAGCCUGUGUCAGCAUCUCUGUUAGCAAUGGCAUCCUUGACCUUCUGGAAAACCCUGCCUGUGGCAGGAGUGUGUCCCAUGCCAACCCCACUGGUGUUGCUGUGGUGCAGAAACAGAAUGCAAAGUUUGGGAUAGCCAAAGUUGCACUCCUCACCUGCAAGAUUAACAACAUCUCUGCUUGUUCUCCUUCACCAGAGGACACAGAAAUUCCCAACUCUGCACAGGAACUUAAAAAAAAUGUCCUUCUCUUUUUUGGUUUUUUGGUUAUACAAACAGAAAGGUGACAGAGGUAUCACCACCAGACCUUCUGCAGGGAGGAGCCCAUCCAUCAGUCCCCAGGGACAAGUUUGCUGUAGGAUUAGCUCAGGUGAAGGACACACAAAGGUGUCUGAAAUUAUACAAGAUGGAUUUGCUGAAGGAUUUGCUCAGGCACGUGAAACAGGUUGAGGUGUUUGGGAUCCCACUGAUGGAUUUGCUCUAGGAUCUGCCAGAAAAUAAAUCUAUACCAUUUAGACCAAAGGCCUCAGGUACAACAGUCUUGUAUGGUUUUCUUGGGCCAUAAAAAAAGUGUAAAAGUAUAUAGACUAUAUAAAAAUUAUGUAAAAUUAUAAAUAAAUACUUGAGAACAAUUAAUGCUGUAAGAUUUUUCCAGAAGAGAAACAGUCUCACAGGCCAACCCCUGUAAGUGCAUUCUGCAUUACCCCAUCACACGCUGACAAACCAAGAUGACUUGUUGCUUAUGGAAUUUCUUGUGAUCAUCAAACCAGCUGAAAGUCUGGCUUGAGUAAUUAAAAUGCUAAUUGGAAAUUCACCAUUCAUCAGAGGAAAUAGCAAUGAGUUCCUUUAUUUUUUUUCCUUUUUUUUUCCUCCAGCAUUUUCUCUCUAGUGGUGGCAGAUGUUGGGGUUGUGAAUUCAUUGUCUGUCAGAGACACAGCAAAAUCCUCUUUCCAUACCAGUUUUCUGUAUUUUUGUUGAUUGUCUACUUAAAUUAACCUUCUCUAAUGAGAUGAAGAUACGCAGGGUAUGCCUGUAAUUUACAGGCUGUGAAAUUAGUGAGCACAGAUGUAAUCCAUCCUGAUGGGUGACAGGGACUGGGCAGCUCCCAGAGUACCCAGGCAGAGGAGAGGAUGGCCAUGUACCUUUAAUGCAUGGUUCCCAGUGCAAAUUUUUCUGAUUUUUAACUAAUAUAUGACGUAAUGAAGUUGUUUAUGCUUUUGUUCUGUUGGGGAGGAAAGGAGUCAGCUUUCCUUCAAAGCCUGUGGCAGAAAUCUUGAAG